ACGCCGAAAGGAGGUGAUCCGGAAGAUGCAUGACUCCCGGACGAGCGAGGUGGCUGCGGGCUAGCGGCCCGCCACCACACGUAGUGCGGUGCCGGUCCAGCACGUGAGUGCAGCGUGCAGCCGGCCGAAAUUCCACGCAGUCACCCGACCCGCGAGCUGCCGGUACCGUCCGGCCGGCUUCUCCGCCUUCAGAGGCGGAGGGACCUCGGCUCGCGGGUCGCCUGCG
rnacentral:sRNA from 1 species